UUAAAUGCACGAUAAAUAUGAUGCUCUUUGACUUUGUAUUUUGCAUCGAAUUUGCAGCCAGCGGAUUAUUAGUCAAUUAAGUUAUCAAAGCAGCAAAUAAAAAAGAGAAAGAGAAGGAAGAUUAUGGAAAUAUUAGUCAAUAUUUGCCAAUAUUUAUGUUAAGACCUUGCUAAAAAAUAAUUUUAUGAUUAACUAUGCAACUGAGUUACGAAUAGUAAAUAACAAGUUCGUAGGAAUGAGAAGGCAUUAGAAAAUCGUAUGAGAAAUAUAAUUAUUUAUUGCAAGAUCGCGAGAUUGAUUUCUUUCCUUCUUGACAGAUGGCGAGCAAAGUAUAUUCCAAAGAGAACUGUCAGUCAUGGCUACCUAAUUCAAUAUUGUUCGCGAAGCGAGUUUAUAUAAUACGAAAUGGAAAAUGUAAACGUUCAGGGAAGAAACAGCAGUUUGUUUAUGACAUCAUUUCCAUUAAACGUUCACUGCCUCCUUUGACAUAUGAGAUAUCGUAUGCUUGAAAUCGAAGAGGAUAUGUCGGCGGCUGAACAACAUUUGGAAUUAUUAAUGAACGAGUAGCUUACUUGAUAAAUUUUUUGUUCAUGCUUAUUAUUCUAAAAUUCAUAAAAUUAAUUCAUAAUUUUUUAACAAACACAUACGAUUUAAGAAACGAAAGUGGAUAAUACUCGAACUUUGCUUUCAGAUUUUGUAACUCUGUUGCAAUAGUCUUUAACGUAAAUUGUACUAUAAUCUAAAUUUGAUUUUAUCAACGCAUUAAAUUCAAAUUUCACGUAUGCACAAGAAGUUUUAUCUAAUCGCCGCUGUUAUAUAAUAUCCAUAAGGACGCUUACUUGAUAUAAGAUAUGACGUGAUAUAUUCUGUAAUCGGAUUUUUGGAAAUUUACUUUUCACGAUCCAAACAUUUUUCCGAUGAUGUUGAGAAAGCAAGAACCGCGUAACCAUACUAUCGGCAAUGGAAUAUUACAAUUGAGAAAGGAAAGACGAUCGAAACAUCUAUACCUUUGGGGAAAGAAGGAACAAUGUUGCCAUAAACUAUGUUUGACGUGUAUGAAUUACACGACGCAGUAGAAAAGCAGGUUUCAUUAAAGAAAAAGAGAAAUUAUUAAACCGUGUAAGCAAUUCACUUUUUAUUCCUACAUGGCUUUUUUUCUUUAUCACCUGUUUCCGAACAAAAAGACCGUUGCAAACGACAUAGAAAUAAUCCUAGUGAUCUUGUCUGUUCCGAUUCGACGAUUUUAUCACCUGUUAUCCUGUCUGAAUCGCAUUCAAGUGUUAUUUAUGCGUCUAAGACAGUGGAACAUUCAUCGGACCAUUUGCGAUCUGUCUCAAUCAACUUAUGUUAUCGAAUUCUAUUUUCGAACAACAUGGCCACGAAAGAGAAUGUCAAAAAUUCGUUCGACAUCUUAUUUACCUUGUUUCUUCCAUCUAGACUUUACUUUUUUAUGACAUGUAUAGCUUUACGAUUUUGUCAGAUACAACGAAAUUGAUAUUUAUAAUGUAUAAAUUAUGACACGUGAUAAAUAUAUAAAUACACACAUACUUUGUAUAUUAUAAAUAUUGAUUGAUUAUAAUUAAUGGAUAAAACAUUAACGGUUGGUGUUUAGUUUAGACAAUUUCAAAAACGAGAUGUCAAAACCGAUAAAAACGAAAUAUCGUUUUAUAUAAAAUAAUCAAACGAGGGAACGAAUUAUUUAUUUCUAAGCUUCACGGAAUCGGCGAAGAACGUUUUACUGGAUUGCAAAUCACGCGUUACUAGACGAGAAUGACAAAAUCGUGGAAGAACACAAGGGAAAAUUUCCGGAAUAAACAAGUACGAACGAAGCAUGUACUCGUGUUGAAUUUAUAAAGAAUUCAGGACGAGGAAGGAUGCGUUCGCAAACGUUGCGAACGCAUUAGCACCAAAAAUCGAUUCAAUCGUGUUUUUCUAUCACCAUGACAUUUCUCAAAUUUUAGAGUAAGACGAGAGAGAGGUUAUCGACACGCGUCAUCUCCGCUUUUAAUAUCACGUUAACUGUUUCCAUAGGUAUAUUAAAAACCUUGCUCUUCGAGACGGAGACAAGACGAGACGAGACGUAAAAAUUCGAGAGUCAAGCGAAGAUUUAUACACGUGUCACAUUUUUAUAUCAACAACUGGUUUAAAUCGAGUAUACGAAACAAUUAAAUUUCCUAUUGAUCUUACGUAAUUUGAACGACCUUCUGUUUUCUCCGCGUGAACGCAUUCUUUUCUUCCAAAAUAUUUUCCGCGAUUAUCAAUUGCACCACCUCCUUCCUGAAAGACAUCUGUCUGAUUUUACACGUAAUAACAGCACGCAGAGCCGUUCGCUAAUUAUUCGUCAAAGAUGAACAGAUCCUGUUACACAAAAUCCGCGAAUAUGCUUAAACGCCGUCGAAAAAGUACCAUAGACUUGUCCGAGCGAAGAGAGUAAUAUAAUCGUAGAGUUUGUGUUUAUGGAACAGUAACGCCAAUAAGGAGAUUGAAAAAAGCCAUAAUAGGAAAACUACACGACAUUGGAGCAGGCGGCGAAUAACGUGCAGAAAUAAGAAAAAAGAAAUGACCAAGACAUCAGAGCCUCUCGAUGGACAAUUAUAAUCGUCGAUUAUUCUAAAUGCGACAAAAACGUGCGUAUAACCUGUCGAGGAUCUUAGCUUAGACUCGAUGAAGUUGCACGAUAGAGUUGCUUUAUCGAAGUAUGGUAAAUUAAUAAAUGAAGCUAUAAAUUGGUGUAUCUGGUUCUCAAGGUCUCCGGAAGUUUUUAAAGUUGGUUAAGAUUUUAUAAAUUAAUAAGAUUAGAACUCGUGUUGUAUCACACUAUUGAAUUUAAUGAUUACAAGGAGCAAGGUGCCUGCUAAAGCAGACGAUAUUUACGUACAGUUGUGUUUACAUCAAAGCUUGUUUCAUCUGUCACUUAACCAGUUAACUGCGUUCGACGUGUACACGCGUCAAUCCAGAACAUCACCUCGGUGCGGUUAACGCGUAUACUCGUCAUGUGAAAUAAAAAAUUACCGUUUGCUAUAAAAGCUCGAAACUUCAGCAAAACAACUGGAGCUGGUAGAAUGCUGGCUGGAACAAUUUGGAUUGUUAUCCGGCUCCACCCACUGAUUGGCUGGAGUCGUCAUCCGAUUGGGAUUGGUUUGAUUGAUUGAGAAGCUGCUGCUGGGUGUGGCGGUGUAUUGGUGUGGACGGCCCACUGCUGCCCUAAGUGAAAUGCAAACUGAUACAAUCUGUUCACAAAUGCCUGGCAACACGCACCACAAACAAUGGAAUUAGUGAAAGAAGAAGCAAAAGCUAGUGCAUACGACGAAGCAAAAAACGCAGAAACAAGCUGGUAAUCCCGUACGACUCUUUUUCGUCGCGCUCUUUCUCUUAAAUUAUUGGUAUACAUAUCAACUUGUGCAAGUUUAAGUGCUAUGUCCAAAUCAUCAUCUUCUGCAGGAUUCAAGAAUAAUGAAGAAACAAGUGACUCUGCUUCAUGAUUGUAAUCCUGUAAAGGAAAUUUCGAUAUUUUAAUACAGGUAUAAUCUAAUAUGAAAGGUAA